CUUGCUGGUGUGGAUGAGUGGCGAACGGGUUGAGUAUACGUGAGUAACCUGCCCUUGACUCUGGGAUAAGCCCGGGAAAACUGGGUCUAAUACUGGAUGCUACAUGUCACCGCAUGGUGGUGUGUGGAAAGGGUUUACUGGUCUUGGAUGGGCUCACGGCCUAUCAGCUUGUUGGUGAGGUAAUGGCUCACCAAGGCGACGACGGAUAGCCGGCCUGAGAGGGUGACCGGCCACACUGGGACUGAGACACGGCCCAGACUCCUACGGGAGGCAGCAGUGGGGAAUAUUGCACAAUGGGCGAAAGCCUGAUGCAGCGACGCCGCGUGAGGGAUGACGGCCUUCGGGUUGUAAACCUCUUUCAGCAGGGAAGAAGCCACAAGUGACGGUACCUGCAGAAGAAGCGCCGGCUAACUACGUGCCAGCAGCCGCGGUAAUACGUAAGGCGCAAGCGUUGUCCGGAAUUAUUGGGCGUAAAGAGCUCGUAGCGGUUUGUCGC
rnacentral:rRNA from 1 species